CGGGCUCCGAGCGGCCGGAACCCUCGCGCCCCGCCCUGCCCGGAGCCACCCGGAGCCGCUGAGUCCCGGACCCGCUCCGCUGGCCGGGCGGGGCUAUUUUUUUCGGCCCGUGUUCUUUCAGCGGCCGGGAAGGAACAUUCUUGGCUUUCCCCGCCUGGCUGCGCCUGUUCCCGCUCCUCCCCCGCCGCGUGUUUUCCGCCCCAGUAAAGAUCGUGCCACACAAAUAAGCCUCGAAUGCCCUUUGCCAAGCGGGCGGGAGGGCACGAGUGCAGAGCCUGAGCGGGCCAUUUUCAGGGCGCGUCUCCGGAGCCGCUAAAAGUCUUGUUUUCUCCCCAAGUGGAAGAGAUCUCCCAUCCAGGAGAUCUUCAGUCAUGCUGUCCAGUGGAUCCUCCUCGAGUCUGAGCUGCAGCUGAGGUGAUGUUAAAUGACUUCCAAUACUGGCUUCUAAGAGUCUUGCUGUCUCUUGGAAUGAUGGCUCUUGGGACACUCCCUCCCAGGACCCAGCUGUAAUCUUCAAGAAUGAAUUGUGUGUAGUUUUCUCCCAGGUACCAGCUAUGGGAAUGAAAGUGCUGGAGUCUUAUUGAGCCCUGAAGGAGUGACGUUCAGGUGCCCACUGCAGCAGGGACGGACCCAGAAGACAGCUGGGGAAGCAAAGAGGUCAAACACGAAAGGGCAAACACUGUGAUUCCACUUAGCCGAGGCUCCCACAGUAGGGAACCAGAGACGGAAAGUAGAACAGAGGACCUGGGCCUGGGUGGCUGGAGGGGAAGACCGGGGUUUAGAGUCUGCCGGGGCCAGACUUUUCGUUUGGGAUGAUGAACAAAUUCUGGAGAUGGAUAGAGGUGAUGGCUGCACAACUAUAUGAAUGUACUUACUGCCACAGAAGCGUACCUUAAAAUGGGUUCUUUUACCUUGGGUAUACUGUACUACGAUAAAAGAUGAAAAAACAGAAUAAAGCUGUAAACAUGGGAGGAUACGGUGCAAACGGUUUGAGUAUGAAAUGCCAAUCGUCUUGUUUUGUUUCUUUUUCCGGAAAUCGGGGCUCACUGCUA